rnacentral:tmRNA from 2 species
GGGGACGUUACGGAUUCGACAGGGAUGGUUCAAGCUUGAGCUGCGCGUCGGAGGUCUCGGCUCCGUCAUCAACGGAAGUUAUAUAAUAACUGGCAAACAACAAAAUUUAGCUUUCGCAGCGUAAGCUCGUAGCGCUCUGCCUGUCUAUCGCCCAUGUAGACAACGCAGGGCUCAACUUUAGUGGGAUACGGUUAGUGGUGCCGCUUGAGUCACUGACAAGAGAUUUCCAAGCUAGCGUGCAAGACGCCUGUUUGUCGGCAUAAUGCCACGCGAAUUGCAAGUAGACAGACUACACGCGUAGAAGUUUGAGUAUUGGAGUUUCUGGACGCGGGUUCGACUCCCGCCGUCUCCAUAA